rnacentral:rRNA from 1 species
GCCCUUUUCCGGUUGAUCCCGCCGGAUCCCACUGCUAUCGGGAUAGGACUAAGACAUGCUAGUCGAGCGCCUUCUGGCCAAAAGGAGGCGCGGCGCACAGCUCAGUAACACGUGGCUAACCUGCCCUUGGGAUAGGAAUACUCCCGGGAAACUGGGGCUAAUUCCCAAUAGGUGAAGAACUCUGGAAUGAGUCUUCGCCAGAAAGGACUCCUGCACUAUGCUUGCAGGUUUCGCCCAAGGAUGGGGCCGCGACCGAUCAGGUUGUUGGUGAGGUAAUGGCUCACCAAGCCUUUUACCGGUGCGGGCCGUGGGAGCGGGAGCCCGGAGAUGGGCACUGAGACAAGGGCCCAGGCCCUACGGGGCGCAGCAGUCGCGAAAACUUUGCAAUACACGUAAGUGUGACAGGGCUAUCCCGAGUGCCAUCCGCUGAGGAAGGCUUUUACCCAGUCUAGAACGCUGGGGGAAUAAGGAGAGGGCAAGUCUGGUGUCAGCCGCCGCGGUAAUACCAGCUCUCCGAGUGGUGUGGAUGUUUAUUGGGCCUAAAGCAUCCGUAGCUGGCUAGGUUAGUCCCUUGUUAAAUCCACCGAAUUAAUCGUUGGAUCGCGGGGGAUACUGCUUGGCUAGGGGACGAGAGAGGGCAGACGGUAUUUUUGGGGUAGGGGUGAAAUCCUAUAAUCCCAGGAAGACCACCAGUGGCGAAGGCUGUCUGCUAGAACGCGCCCGACGGUGA